GACGAACGCUGGCGGCGUGCUUAACACAUGUAAGUCGAACGGAAAGGCCCUGCCUUUGUGGGGUGCUCGAGUGGCGAACGGGUGAGUAACACGUGAGUAACCAGUCAUUGACCUUGGGGUAAGUUAAGGAAACUGGGGCUAUUACUGGAAAGGAGUUCUUGCUGCAUGGUGGGGGUUGGAAAGUUUAGGUGGUUGGGGAUGGAAUCGCCGCCCAUCAGCUUGUUGCUGUGGUAGUGGCUUAGCAAGGCUAUGACGGGUAGCCGGGCUGCUAGGGCGACCUGCUACAUUGGGACUGAACUACGACCCGGACUCGUACGGGAGGCAGGAGUGCGGUGUAGUGCACAGUGGGCUGGAGCCUGAUGCAGCAACGCCGCGCGCGGGGUGAGAGCCUGCGUGUUGGAUUCCACUUUCGUCUGUGACGAAGCGUGAAUGACGGUAAUGGGUAAAGAAGCACCGGCUAACUACGUG
rnacentral:rRNA from 1 species